rnacentral:rRNA from 1 species
CGGGGCUAAUACCGGAUGCUUGAUUGAACCGCAUGGUUCAAUCAUAAAAGGUGGCUUUCAGCUACCACUUACAGAUGGACCCGCGGCGCAUUAGCUAGUUGGUGAGGUAACGGCUCACCAAGGCGACGAUGCGUAGCCGACCUGAGAGGGUGAUCGGCCACACUGGGACUGAGACACGGCCCAGACUCCUACGGGAGGCAGCAGUAGGGAAUCUUCCGCAAUGGACGAAAGUCUGACGGAGCAACGCCGCGUGAGUGAUGAAGGUUUUCGGAUCGUAAAACUCUGUUGUUAGGGAAGAACAAGUACCGUUCGAAUAGGGCGGCACCUUGACGGUACCUAACCAGAAAGCCACGGCUAACUACGUGCCAGCAGCCGCGGUAAUACGUAGGUGGCAAGCGUUGUCCGGAAUUAUUGGGCGUAAAGCGCGCGCAGGCGGUUUCUUAAGUCUGACGUGAAAGCCCCCGGCUCAACCGGGGAGGGUCAUUGGAAACUGGGGAACUUGAGUGCAGAAGAGGAGAGUGGAAUUCCACGUGUAGCGGUGAAAUGCGUAGAGAUGUGGAGGAACACCAGUUGGCGAAGGCGACU